rnacentral:rRNA from 1 species
UACGUAGGCAGCAAGCGUUGUUCGGAAUUACUGGGCGUAAAGAGUGUGUAGGCGGUGCUCUAAGUCUGUUGUGAAAUCUCCCGGCUUAACUGGGAGGGUGCGGCGGAAACUGGAAUGCUCGAGUAUGGGAGAGGUAAGCGGAAUUCCUGGUGUAGCGGUGAAAUGCGUAGAUAUCAGGAGGAACACCUGUGGUGUAGACAGCUUACUGGACCAUCACUGACGCUGAGACACGAAAGCGUGGGUAGCAAACAGG